rnacentral:rRNA from 1 species
CCUAUGGGCGGCAGCAGUAGGGAAUCUUCCACAAUGGGCGAAAGCCUGAUGGAGCAACGCCGCGUGGGUGAAGAAGGUCUUCGGAUCGUAAAACCCUGUUGUUAGAGAAGAAAGUGCGUGAGAGUAACUGUUCACGUUUCGACGGUAUCUAACCAGAAAGCCACGGCUAACUACGUGCCAGCAGCCGCGGUAAUACGUAGGUGGCAAGCGUUAUCCGGAUUUGUUGGGCGUAAAGGGAACGCAGGCGUGCUUUUAAGUCUGAGGUGAAAGCCUUCGGCUCAACCGGAGUAGUGCAUUGGAAACUGGGAGACGUGAUUGCAGAAGAGGAGAGUGGAACUCCAGGUGUAGCGGUGAAAUGCGUAUAUAUAUGGAAGAACACCAGUGGCGAAGGCGGCUCUCUGGUCUGUAACUGACGCUGAGGUUCGAAAGCGUGGGUAGCAAACAGGAUUAGAUACCCUUGUAGUC